rnacentral:rRNA from 1 species
GAUGAACGCUGGCGGCGUGCCUAAUACAUGCAAGUCGAACGAACUUCCGUUAAUUGAUUAAGCGGUACUUGUACCAAUUGAGAUUUUAACACGAAGUGAGUGGCGAACGGGUGAGUAACACGUGGGUAACCUGCCCAGAAGUAGGGGAUAACACCUGGAAACAGAUGCUAAUACCGUAUAAUAGAGAAAACCGCAUGGUUUUCUUUUGAAAGAUGGCUCUGCUAUCACUUCUGGAUGGACCCGCGGCGCAUUAGCUAGUUGGUAAGGUAAAGGCUUACCAAGGCAGUGAUGCGUAGCCGACCUGAGAGGGUAAUCGGCCACAUUGGGACUGAGACACGGCCCAGACUCCUACGGGAGGCAGCAGUAGGGAAUCUUCCACAAUGGACGCAAGUCUGAUGGAGCAACGCCGCGUGAGUGAAGAAGGGUUUCGGCUCGUAAAGCUCUGUUGUUAAAGAAGAACGUGGGUGAGAGUAACUGUUCACCCAGUGACGGUAUUUAACCAGAAAGCCACGGCUAACUACGUGCCAGCAGCCGCCGUAAAA